GACGAACGCUGGCGGCGUGCUUAACACAUGCAAGUCGAACGGAAAGGCCCUGCUUGCAGGGUACUCGAGUGGCGAACGGGUGAGUAACACGUGGGUGAUCUGCCCUGCACUUCGGGAUAAGCCUGGGAAACUGGGUCUAAUACCGGAUAGGAGCCAUUUUUAGUGUGAUGGUUGGAAAGUUUUUUCGGUGUAGGAUGAGCUCGCGGCCUAUCAGCUUGCUGGUGGGGUAAUGGCCUACCAAGGCGGCGGCGGGUAGCCGGCCUGGGGGGGUGGACGGCCACAUUGGGACUGAGGUAAGGCCCAGACUCCGACGGGAGGCAGCAGUGGGGAAUAUUGCACAAUGGGCGCAAGCCUGAUGCAGCGACGCCGCGUGGGGGAUGACGGCCUUCGGGUUGUAAACUCCUUUCGCUAGGGACGGAGCUUUUUGUGACGGUACCUAGAGAAGAAGCACCGGCUAACUACGUG
rnacentral:rRNA from 1 species